rnacentral:rRNA from 1 species
AGUGAACGCUGGCGGUAGGCCUAACACAUGCAAGUCGAACGGCAGCACAGUAAGAGCUUGCUCUUACGGGUGGCGAGUGGCGGACGGGUGAGGAAUACAUCGGAAUCUACUUUUUCGUGGGGGAUAACGUAGGGAGACUUACGCUAAUACCGCAUACGACCUACGGGUGAAAGCAGGGGAUCUUCGGACCUUGCGCGAUUGAACGAGCCGAUGUCGGAUUAGCUAGUUGGCGGGGUAAAGGCCCACCAAGGCGACGAUCCGUAGCUGGUCUGAGAGGAUGAUCAGCCACACUGGAACUGAGACACGGUCCAGACUCCUACGGGAGGCAGCAGUGGGGAAUAUUGGACAAUGGGCGCAAGCCUGAUCCAGCCAUACCGCGUGGGUGAAGAAGGCCUUCGGGUUGUAAAGCCCUUUUGUUGGGAAAGAAAAGCAGCAGGUUAAUACCCCGCUGCUCUGACGGUACCCAAAGAAUAAGCACCGGCUAACUUCGUG